UUCUAUCGCUGCAAUGCGACUCUGUGGUC
rnacentral:sRNA from 1 species